rnacentral:lncRNA from 1 species
AUUAAAUUAUAUUUAAUUAGACUUAAUCUUAACCUAUUGAAUUAAUUAAAUUAAGUUAAUUAGCAAUCAAAUUACUAAUCGAUCCUCCUGCAACACUUGCACUAGGUUAAAUAUCAAUCGUAUUGAUCGUUUAACCCUAGAACAAUUCUUAAUCGUUGAUCAACCAUCUGAUCGGAUCGUGAUCUCUAAUGUGUGUGAUCUCAUAGGUCCGAACCUAAGCUGGUAGUAUAAGAAUAAAUUUCAGUACCAAUCGAAGUGACCAUUUAGCAAUGGUACCC